AUUGAACGCUGGCGGCGUGCCUAACACAUGCAAGUCGCACGCGAAAGGGGGCAACCCCAAGUAGAGUGGCGGACGGGUGAGUAACGCGUAGGAAUCUACCUAGUAGUGGGGGACAACCCGGCGAAAGCCGGGCUAAUACCGCAUACGACCUAAGGGGGAAAGCAGGGGAUCGCAAGACCUUUCGCUAUUAGAUGAGCCUGCGUCCGAUUCGCUAGUUGGUGAGGUAACGGCUCACCAAGGCGACGAUCGGGAACUGGUUUGAGAGAACGAGCAGUCACAUUGGGACUGAGACGCGGCGCAAACUCCUACGGGAGGCAGCAGUGGGGAAUAUUGGACAAUGGGGGCAACCCUGAUCCGGCGACGCCGCGUGUGUGAAGAAGGCCUUCGGGUUGUAAAGCACUUUCGGCAGGGACAAACAAGACGGAGCUAACAUCUCCGUUCCUGAUGGUACCUGAAGAAGAAGCACCGGCUAACUCUGUGCCAGCCGCCGCCGUAA
rnacentral:rRNA from 1 species